rnacentral:rRNA from 1 species
UACGUAGGGUGCGAGCGUUGUCCGGAAUUAUUGGGCGUAAAGAGCUUGUAGGCGGUUUGUCGCGUCUGCCGUGAAAAUUCGAGGCUCAACCUCGAACUUGCGGUGGGUACGGGCAGACUAGAGUGUGGUAGGGGAGAACGGAAUUCCUGGUGUAGCGGUGAAAUGCGCAGAUAUCAGGAGGAACACCGGUGGCGAAGGCGGUUCUCUGGGCAUGACCUGACGCUGAGGAGCGAAAGUGUGGGGAGCGAACAGG